CGUACUGGCAUUGUUGGUUUCUCCCUUCUGACGAACCAUGAUGUCAUUUAUUUGGUGUUGUGGGGAAUCAGGACUGUUACUUUGAAAAAAUUAGAGUGUUUAAAGCAGGCCCGCGCUUGAAUACAUUAGCAUGGAAUAAUGAAAUAGGACGUUUGAUUCUAUUUUGUUGGUUUCUAGGAUCGACGUAAUGAUUAAUAGGGAUAGUUGGGGGCAUUAGUAUUCAAUUGUCAGAGGUGAAAUUCUUGGAUUUAUUGAAGACUAACUACUGCGAAAGCAUUUGCCAAGGAUGUUUUCAUUAAUCAAGAACGAAAGUUAGGGGAUCGAAGACGAUCAGAUACCGUCGUAGUCUUAACCAUAAACUAUGCCGACUAGGGAUCGGAUGAUGUUAAUUUUUUAAUGACUCAUUCGGCGCCUUACG
rnacentral:rRNA from 1 species